GAUGAACGCUGGCGGCGUGCUUAACACAUGCAAGUCGAACGGAAAGGCCAGUGCUUGCACUGGUACUCGAGUGGCGAACGGGUGAGUAACACGUGGGUGAUCUGCCCUGCACUUCGGGAUAAGCCUGGGAAACUGGGUCUAAUACCGGAUAGGACAAUGGUUUGGAUGCCGUUGUGGAAAGUUUUUUCGGUGUGGGAUGAGCUCGCGGCCUAUCAGCUUGUUGGUGGGGUAAUGGCCUACCAAGGCGUCGACGGGUAGCCGGCCUGCGAGGGUGUACGGCCACAUUGGGACUGAGAUACGGCCAAGACUCCUACGGGAGGCAGCAGUGGGGAAUAUUGCACACUGGGCGCAAGCCUGAGGCAGCGACGCCGCGGGGGGGAUGACGGCCUUCGGGUUGUAAACACCUUUCGCUAGGGACGAAGCGUAUUUGUGACGGUACCUGGAGAAGAAGCACCGGCUAACUACGUG
rnacentral:rRNA from 1 species